rnacentral:lncRNA from 1 species
GGAACUCCAUUCUGUUGACUCUACCAGAUAGAAUAGUAGAACCCAUAUUUUAUCAUACUCCAAAGAAGAAUUGGAUCCUGGCUCAGAAGGAACGCUAGCUAUAUGCUUAACACAUGCGAGAUCUUCGGUUUUUUCUUUCCUCUUUCUCUAUCCCUAUCUCGUAGGUAUAGCGUUUGAAUCAAUAGAGAACCUUUUCUUCUGUAUUUGUAUGAAUUGAUAUUAUUACAUUCCAAUUCCUUCCCGAUACCUCCCAAGGAAAAUCCUGAAUUGGAUCUCAAAUUGACGGGUUAGUGUGAGCUUAUCCAUGUGGUUAUGCACCCUUCGAAUAGGAAUCCAUUUUUCUGAAAGAUCCCGGCUUUCAUGCUUUGGUGAGUCUUCGAGACCCUUUCGAUGACCUACGUUGUGUUGAAG